AGGGUGUAUGGCGUAAGUUACGCACGCGUUUUCCCAUGACCCAAACGCCCAAAAACGCGUGCGUGCGUACCGCACACACCCUAC
rnacentral:tRNA from 1 species